CAAUAGCGUAUAUUUAGGUUGUUGCAGUUAAAAAGCUCGUAGUUGGAUUUCGGGUGGGACGCAGCGGUCUCGCAUUGCGUUUGUACUGCUGCAGCCCUCCUUCUUGCCGGGGGCGGCCUCUCGGACUUCACUGUCUGGGGGUCAGAAUCGGCGAUGUUACUUUGAGUAAAUUAGAGUGUUCAAAGCAAGCUUACGCUCUGAAUAUAAUAGCAUGGGAUAACACGACAGGACUCUGGCCUAUCGUGUUGGUCUAUAGGACCAGAGUAAUGAUUAAGAGGGACAGUCGGGGGCAUUCGUAUUCCGUUGUCAGAGGUGAAAUUCUUGGAUUUACGGAAGACGAACAUCUGCGAAAGCAUUUGCCAAGGAUGUUUUCAUUG
rnacentral:rRNA from 1 species